GAGCGUGGUGAGGCUCAAUGCGUUUCCAAGCGCGCUCCGACUCGCCGCGGAAGAAUGCGUGGAUGCACCGCCCCCCCGAUUCGGCGCACGCAGAUGCACGCAGCCCCCCCACCACCACCACCACCAGCAGCACCCCCCGCGGUGGCCAGCGGCCAGACAAUCGCUGUCCCCACCCCCCUCCCAACUCCGGGGUCUCGGUGUGCCUGGGGGGGGCCCUCCGUGGAGGUGGGGGAGCCGUUGGCAGACACCUGAGUCCUGGCAGCUGCGCUGAUUAGCAGUGCGAGGUGGGGGCGGGGGCGUUCCGCGGCCCGAUGCAUCGCCCGCACCUCUUCCAAAUAAACACACACGCGCGCGCGUGCAGACAAAUACACGGAUAAAUAAACCAACAGACGAGCGAGGGAGCGAGGGACCAUUGCCGCUGUGGCGUCUUCGCCGUGGCCACCGCAACCCUCGCCGCCCGGAUGAUCGCCGAGUGACGGGUGGCGGUGGUGACACUUUUGGAACUUUGCUGAAAACCAAAUCUUGCCAAGGGAGCAGCGUGACACGGCGCGAGGUGAACACUGUUUCUUGGCAUCUCGACACAAGUAGCUCGAGGCCGUGCCAACACCGUGCCAAGACCGUGCCAAGACGGCACCCGGCGCCAGAAUGUCCGCUCCCAAGUCACGGCGCGACCCUUUUAACAAGACGCGGUGGCUCGCUCCCUUGCCAAGAGGGGCGCCGCCCCACCGUCCCCACACGGCCCACGGCCGUGGGCCUGUCGGGCGGCACCUCUGCCGCACUUGGAGAUCGCCGAUCAGAACGCCCGCCGGCCGUGCCGCGACGGAUCGUCGGCCCGCCCGGCGCCGCCGCCGCCGUCGCCGCCACUCGCUCCGCGAGCACGACGGCGGUAACGGCGACUCGCCGCACGAGCUCGCCGGCCUCCGAUUCCCAGGCGGUGGUGAGCCCCUCGCUUGUCGGCGGAGAAAGGGAGAAGCGGCUACAACAGGCGGCGGCCGAGCGGGCGGAGAGAAAUUUAAUCACGUGGACGAAAUUAGUGCUCAUUCCAACGGUGGAAUCAAACGUUUGUGCGUCAUGUCCACAUGACGGACACUCUUUGCAGGAUGGACCAAAGGCCCGGUCAAACGCCCCCCCCCCCGACUCCGCACGGCGUGAGGAGGCCCUCACCCAGCAGCAGACUCCCACCAAAUGGCCGCUCACAUUGACGAAGCUCUAAAGCUGCAACAUGAACAAGGCCCGUGCGGAGCAGCGACGGAGACGCUUGGAAACGGCACCGCCUGGAGGAGAGCCUCUCCACCACGGCGGCCUCACCACUACGGCGGCCUCUCCACCACGGCGGCCUCUCCACCACGGCGGCCUCACCACUACGGCGGCCUCUCCACCACGGCGGCCUCACCACUACGGCGGCCUCUCCACCACGGCGGCCUCACCACUAGAGCAGCCUCACCACUACAGCGGCCUCUCCACUACGGCGGCCUCUCCACCACGGCGGCCUCUCCACCACGGCGGCCUCACCGCCACGGCGGCGACGCCGCGUCACGAGCUGCAGAGUCUGGGAUUUCACAGUCGGGGGGGGGGGAACCUAGCGGUUUGUGACGCGUGAAACGCGUCUGGCCGCGUUCGGCCUGUGUCCAGGAGGAGAGGAAACCCACCACCACCACCAUCACCACGGGGGUAAUGUUCCACGUUUGGGUCUGCAGCCCAGACUUGACCCUCAGUGACCUCACUCCCAUUCCCGAUGUAUAAUCCCGCGCCUAACCUCCGCACUAACCUUUGCUCAAACGCGAGUGUUUAAACCGUUAACUCGCUACGUACACAUACAUAUCUUAAACAUUUUCCUGAGUAAAUAUGGGAAGGGCUGACUAAUUGUCAGUGCUAAAUGAGCCAUCGUGUCUCUAGCACGUGAGCAUCGUCUCGUUGCGUGUCUCGUCGCGUGUCUCAUGGUGUGUCUCGUGGUGUGUCUCGUGGUGUGUCCCGUGGUGUGUCCCGUCGUGUGUCCCGUCGUGUGUCUCGUGGUGUGUCUCGUGGUGUGUCUCGUCGUGUGUCUCGUCGUGUAUCUCGUGGUGUGUCUCAUGGUGCGGCUCAUGGUGUGUCUCGCACCGCCAGUGUGCUGCAUUGCUCCAUUUUUUUCACAGUAAUCACCUCGAGUGGUUCUCCUGUGAAUCUCGUCGCUGGUCACUAGCGAGCGUAAGUGUGCGCUUGUAUCGCGCAUUUGUACACUCUACAUUAACACGACGAUGAUUAUGAUGUUGUUGUUAUUACGCUUGUUUACCCAGGAUAGUCUCACUGAGUCUCAAUACAGAUGUUCUCAGUAGGGGGCACUUCUGCCGUGUGUAAAUCCCGACUGAGUAAUUUGCGGGUAAUUUUCAGCAUUGGGAUGUUUGGCCAAUACCUGUUACAUUGUGAACAAUUGUUUAGCUGUGAGGGGCGAGUGAUUCAACUGCACCAUCCUGCCGUCCAUUAUGCACAUCACGGCGAUGACCGUGAUGAUGCGACAAAAAGAUUAUUGACGACGAUAAUAAUCAUCUUCUUGGUUCUUUCGGUAAAGUCACGUAGACUUUACGUGACUUUACCGAAAGAAUCAAGAAGAUGAAUCCCUGCAGUCACGAAAGCUUUAAAUCGAUAAUAAUCAUGCGUACCGUGUUGAUGACGUUCGUGAUGAUGGUAACAAUGAUAAUAUAAUAAGCGUGGUUUUUGACAAUGAUGAUGCAUGUAUUAAGUUAACAUGAUGAUGAACGGUGAUGUGCAUGAGAAUGAAACAUGAGGGAUGGUGUUAACGUCACACGUAGGAUUCCGCAGCCAAUGUUACGAUGCACAGUUGUGUUUGGGUACGGCCACUUAACGAUCUGACCAAAUCUGUGUCGUCAAGAGCCCUCCACCACCCAACACGAGCCAAACACAUUCAGUUGUCACGUGAUGGACGAGCGGCCGAGCGGCCGUGUGGCCGUGGAGGCUGUCCGCCUUCGCCGCAUCCCCAGCGCCGGGAGGCGAGGAGCGGAAACCCGAGCCUGGCCGCGCGUGGGAGGCCAGCGCCCGCGCCCGGGACGUGCCCCCCACGUCUGUCAGCGGCCACCAUCUCCACGGCGCGGCGCUCCCAAGCAUGGCGCUUAAAGAGCUUAACCUUUCCACUGGCAUGGACCGCCCAAAGCUUUAAAGUGAGACACGCGACCUCCUUGUCCUGCUCUGACAGCCUCCCGCCGUCGGCUCUCAGGCCUUCCUCCUGGUCGCCGGGGCCCGCGUGAAAUCAAGGAAAUCAGAGCUUAGGUCUUCAGUCACAUCCACAUGCUCGGCCUAAUGCAGGCGUCUCCGCGGCCGCCAAGAAGAUGUUUGGACCACUUCCUGAUACCUGAGGUGGAGCGGUGGUACAGUGGUUCACGCACUGCACCGUGAUCCCUGCUCCCUGAGUUCGAUUCCCGGCCACGGCUAACUUCAGCGGCGAGUGAUAUAUGUACCGGUCCUGGGCCGCUCCUUCACCAACUUCCACUGACCAGCGUGGUGAAGUAUGGGCAAACAAUCACUCAUUGCCAGAAGCCGUGGGGAGGCCUUCAUCCAGCAGUGGAGUGACAUGGCCGUGAGCGAGUACCGUUCGUAUCGCCGCGGGAUAUCCGUGCUGGUCUGCAACAUUUCAGCUGAAUCGGCGGAAGAUCACUGCAAGAUGGAACCCAACCUGCAUCGCUUAUCAAACACAAGCAGAACAGAUUCUCCCCGGCGCUGCCUCACGACGGAAGAAUAUAAAAUAGGCGGCUCUUGUUCAAUGCGAUGCCUCUACUCCAUCGGCUCCUCUCGUUCUUCUCCCCGAAGAAGGGCGAUUGCCAAAGCCACCGCCGCAUCCCUCACUGCCACGAGCCACGUCACUCGAUUUGCCGUCCUGGCAGCAGCGAGUUUAAAAAAAAAAAUUGGCGAUUUGUGAAUUUUGGCCGUGGCUGCGAGUGAUGAUUAUCGUCACCGUCACCAGGCACAUUGAGAGAGAGGGUAAUUGCCCAAAACAGCUCGACACAAAGCGGUGCUCAAAGGACUCGCAGCACUCCUCCUCGGCUGAGCAGCUGUCCGAGCCGUGUGGUCUCCUUGACACCUACAGACGUAACCGCUUCCUCCGUGCCUGGCACGAGCGCGAUAAUUUUAAUCGCAAAUUAAAUACUUCCGAAGGACAAACGGAAAGCCAGGCGAUUGCAUGGCUUCUUCUUGCUCGUGUUAAAUCUGUUACACUUGGUUGGAAAUGCUAGGUUAAGACCACAACACCCCCGCUCAGUAGUAAUCGUAAAAAAAAGUUACAUUAACAGUAAAAGUGACUCGCAUGGUGCAUUCCCCUGGGCGCUUUGCACGUUCCUUAUUAUCCUCCCCUUCCUCUUCGUCCCCCCUUCCUCCUGCUGCUGCUGCCACAUCAAACGCGCCAGCAGCCGCGUCUGCACCACCGACUUGUUGUGACAGAGGCUGCCGGCGCUGCGCGGAUCGACGCACCUCCGAAGCACGUGCCACCCUUCACUGUGCACCGUGCAUGGUACGGCUGGGCUGGUCGGGCUGGCUGGGCCCCGCGUUCUCCGGCGCUUCGUCGUACGGAGCACGCCCGGUUGUUAAAAUUCAACGCGAGGUCAACGUCAGGGGCCGUUGUUUGUGUCGCGUGCCUCUCCGUGCUUGGGAGAUGUUUCUUGUUGAACUGAAGCCUUUCGCAGGUGGAGAUUUAUUUUCCAAGUUUUUCAAGUAAUCAUUGUCUACUCGACGGCACUGAAUCGUUUAAAGGUGACGUCAUAUUUCCCCGUGCUGCCCACCUUCAUUCGCAGUCCUGAGCCAAUAAUGGAAAUUCCACAUUCCUAUGGAAGGGAUUCUGUUUUUCUUAGAACGACCAACGAUUGCUCACUCGGGAUGAAGGACUCAAUCAACCCUGACUGGCAUUUGAACUUAUCGAGGAGAACUGAGGAUGCUGCUGCCGCCCUGUGCUGCAGUCACGAGAUAGGACGCGUCACACUUUGUUGAUCGUUGUCUCGUUUGCCGCAUCCACUUACCGGAAGAAGCCGGUGACGCCAAAUUCAAUAUUUUUAUUCGCAACAACGUCGUCACUGCACAUUUGACAACAGCCACAACAACGGAGACUUACGGCAAGGGGGGGGGGGAUAAGAGAAUCUGAGAAUUUGGAUUCUUCUGCGAUAAUCCCAUGCAUCGUGUCCAAGAGGCUAAAAGGCUUAUGAAGUCUGAUCUACGGCAGCCCCGAGAAAAUUAUUGUAAUCUGCUUGUGAUCCGCCGUACCCCGUAAGAUUAUCCUGGCCCGACAAUUGUCCAUAAUGAGUGGCGGGGAUCCAGCGGAGGUGCGCUCCACGGCGGCCCAGCACAGCUCCGAGCCUCGUGCGAGGAGUCACACCCAGCCCCAGGGCAACUCUCUGCCUCGGCUCGCGUUGUGUCAACAACAACAACAACACGUGCGGUGCGCGGAGCGAUCGCGCCGCAGCUUACCUGGCCCCGGCUAAAGGCCACACGCCCCCUGCGUUCUGCAAACAUCUUUGAAGAUACUUGAAAGAGACACUGCGGGGUGGGAGGGCCGAGAACAGGACACUCUAGCAGAAGUUUGGCAAGUUGAGAAAGUAUUUAUGAAGCAGGCUUAUUGCCCGACUAGAACACAGCAUUCAAAUAUUGACAGAUGCAUCCAUCAGGCUUGCUGAUUCGGACAGGUGUCGUUGAGUUUGUUUUUCGGAUUCGCCUCCGGUGUCCCUGACAUUCCUGACAGUGGGCACACUCAUAACUCAGAUUCAUUGAAAUUAUUUCAUUCACCAGAAAAGCUUUAAAACGGCUUUGAGAAUGCACAGACGGUAACGCAAAGUGUCUGUGAUGUACGGAAUUUUUACUCGGCAAAUUUCAAGUUUUCAAGUUCAUUUAUUAGGUAUAGCCCUGUGAGCCAUUCGGCUCUUGAAUCGGGUGCAACCGCAACUAACAAAAAAACUAAAACAUGAACAAGAAAACAUCUUAAAGUGACUAUGUGCAAACAGAAAAUCCAAGAAAAGACAGCAAAAUAUUGCAGAAAAAGCACCGUACACCAACCCUGUGUGCAACAAUCCCAGUGGGAUCCCAGCCGUUGCUGGAUCAAGGCCUCCCAAGGCUUUGCCAUCUCUCGUAAUCGCGGUCCUCGUUCCGCUCUCAUCGUUGUUACGUUGCCCGUCGGUUUAGUUUGCGUCCGUAAGGGUUGUGAUAUUUGCAGCAUUCGUAUACCGCGGGUGAGAAACUGAGUUUCCUCGGCAGAUAUUCCUCGCGUAUUCUCCACGCGUCGCACGAUGCACCCUUAAUCUGGCAUAAGCGGCUUUUCUGAAAUUGCUUCCACCCAUUAUUGGUUUUUAAUAUCUGCUUAGUUAUCUGUUUUAUUGCCACUUUUUACCACCUGUUAGUUCCACUUAUCCUAAGCCACCUCAAUUAUUCUCGAAAAUAUAUUAUUUUUCUGACUUAAGCAAAGACGCUAAAUGUAUGCAUAUGACAAUGAUGGGGACAGAAUUGGAAUGUGAUUAUCGCAACGUGAUUAUUACGAAAAUAGAACCUUACAUACGCGUCCCAACAUAACACAGUUGGUUAAAAAUGCGUCAAAACAUUAACUAAGGACGAUUACAGUUGUCCGUUACACGAAUAGGGAACGGCACAGGGGAGAGAGUUGGAACCAUCACGUGUGAAUAUGCCCAAGUGCCCAAGCCCCACCAACCCUGAUUUUGCUCCCCCAUACCCCUAUUCACACACUCCCCCAUCCACUGCACUAGACAUUAACCAAACUAGAAGCUUCUGCAGAACAAGAUCGUUUAUAAAGCUCACCCACAGCGGACCUUACUUCUGCAAUGCACAUGCCACUUUUAUCAUCUGCACAACGAUUUUACUUCGUUUUUUAUAUAUGUAUUAAAAAUAUAUAUUUUUAAAUAUAUUUAAAAAUAUUGUUGCUGCUGUUUACAUCGUCGUUGUUGUUAAUUUGCUCAAGCUGAGAGAGA